rnacentral:rRNA from 1 species
AGCGAACGCUGGCGGCAGGCCUAACACAUGCAAGUCGAACGGACCCUUCGGGGUUAGUGGCGGACGGGUGAGUAACACGUGGGAACGUGCCUUUAGGUUCGGAAUAGCUCCUGGAAACGGGUGGUAAUGCCGAAUGUGCCCUUCGGGGGAAAGAUUUAUCGCCUUUAGAGCGGCCCGCGUCUGAUUAGCUUGUUGGUGGGGUAAUGGCCCACCAAGGCUACGAUCAGUAGCUGGUCUGAGAGGAUGACCAGCCACAUUGGGACUGAGACACGGCCCAAACUCCUACGGGAGGCAGCAGUGGGGAAUCUUGCGCAAUGGGCGAAAGCAUGACGCAGCCAUGCCGCGUGUAUGAUGAAGGUCUUAGGAUUGUAAAAUACUUUCACCGGUGAAGAUAAUGACUGUAGCCGGAGAAGAGCCCCGGCUAACUUCGUGCCAGCAGCCGCGGUAAUACGAAGGGGGCUAGCGUUGCUCGGAAUUACUGGGCGUAAAGGGAGCGUAGGCGGACAUUU